AAAUUGAAGAGUUUGAUCAUGGCUCAGAUUGAACGCUGGCGGCAGGCCUAACACAUGCAAGUCGAGCGGUAGCACAGAGAGCUUGCUCUCGGGUGACGAGCGGCGGACGGGUGAGUAAUGUCUGGGAAACUGCCUGAUGGAGGGGGAUAACUACUGGAAACGGUAGCUAAUACCGCAUAAUGUCGCAAGACCAAAGUGGGGGACCUUCGGGCCUCAUGCCAUCAGAUGUGCCCAGAUGGGAUUAGCUAGUAGGUGGGGUAACGGCUCACCUAGGCGACGAUCCCUAGCUGGUCUGAGAGGAUGACCAGCCACACUGGAACUGAGACACGGUCCAGACUCCUACGGGAGGCAGCAGUGGGGAAUAUUGCACAAUGGGCGCAAGCCUGAUGCAGCCAUGCCGCGUGUGUGAAGAAGGCCUUCGGGUUGUAAA
rnacentral:rRNA from 1 species